rnacentral:rRNA from 1 species
CAGUCGCCGCGGUAAUACAGAGGGUGCGAGCGUUAAUCGGAUUUACUGGGCGUAAAGCGUGCGUAGGCGGCUUUUUAAGUCGGAUGUGAAAUCCCUGAGCUUAACUUAGGAAUUGCAUUCGAUACUGGGAAGCUAGAGUAUGGGAGAGGAUGGUAGAAUUCCAGGUGUAGCGGUGAAAUGCGUAGAGAUCUGGAGGAAUACCGAUGGCGAAGGCAGCCAUCUGGCCUAAUACUGACGCUGAGGUACGAAAGCAUGGGGAGCAAACAGGAUUAGAGACCCCCGUAGUCCCUGUCUCUUAACA